rnacentral:rRNA from 1 species
GACGAACACUGGCGGCGUGCCUAACACAUGCAAGUCGAACGGAGAUAUGAUUUCGGUUGUAUCUUAGUGGCGGACGGGUGAGUAACGCGUGAACAACCUGACUCUAAGAGGGGGAUAACACUCGGAAACGGGUGCUAAUACCGCAUAAGACCACGACCUGGCAUCAGGAUGAGGUCAAAGGAGCAAUCCGCUGAGAGAGGGGUUCGCGUCCCAUUAGAUAGAUGGCGGGGUAACGGCCCACCAUGUCAACGAUGGGUAGCCGAGCUGAGAGGCUGAUCGGCCACACUGGAACUGAGACACGGUCCAGACUCCUACGGGAGGCAGCAGUGGGGAAUAUUGGGCAAUGGGCGCAAGCCUGACCCAGCAACGCCGCGUGAGGGAAGAAGGCUUUCGGGUUGUAAACCUCUGUCCUUGGUGACGAAACAAAU